rnacentral:piRNA from 1 species
CACUUAUUUCAGUACGAGACCGAA